AUUCACUGUAGAGUAUAAAGCUAUGGUAUCUUAUGGGGCCUGGAUAUGUAUUCCCUUGCAAAUUUUUCCUUUUUCCCCCACAAAGAUUUCACCAUGUUUCCUUGUUUUCCCAACUUUAUGGUCCCUUGUUUUUUUAUCAUUUUUUUCUUUGAAUUCUGAUUGCAAAAUAUGCAUUGUUCUCUGGUUUCCUAAACCCAGCCCUGGGAGACCCUCAGUACAGUCUCACAAUUAUUUGGUGUUAAGAAUUUUAUGACCCAAAGGCAACUGACAAUGGCUUCCUCUUCAUAUUCCAUUUCAGAACCAUGAAAAACUAGUUUGAUAUAAAUAUUAUAAUAUGAAAUAAGUUCCUCUAUGAACAUUGCCAGGUUUUUGCAGCUAUGAAUACUCCAGUCACAACUUAGAAAACCAAUAGUAAAAUGUGUCUUAGACGUAGUACAAGCUUCACAUUUGCCAUGUGGUAAAUGCUUAUUAUUUCAUAUUGUAGGUUGAUACUAGCAUGCCAAGACACUAGGAAAAGAAUCAUAGCCUGGGUAUGGAUUAUAUGGUCA